rnacentral:rRNA from 1 species
UUGACCUCGGAUCAGGUAGGAAUCCCCGCUGAACUUAAGCAUAUCAAUACCGUAGCCAGAAAA